AGCUAGUUGGCGGGGUAAUUGCCCACCAAGGCGACGAUCGGUAGCUGGAUCGAGAGGUUGACCAGCCACACUGGGACUGAGAUACGGCCCAGACUCCUACGGGAGGCAGCAGUGAGGAAUCUUCCACAAUGGACGAAAGUCUGAUGGAGCAACACCGCGUGCAGGAAGACGCUUUUCGGAGUGUAAACUGCUUUUGUAUGGGAAGAUUAUGACGGUACCAUGCGAAUAAGGACCGGCUAACUACGUGCCAGCAGCCGCGGUAAUACGUAGGGUCCAAGCGUUAUCCGGAAUUACUGGGCGUAAAGCGUGCGUAGGCGGAGAUUUGCGUGAGAUGCGAAAUCCGGUGGCUCAACCAUCUGGACUGUAUCUCAUACGGGAUUUCUAGAGGACGGCAGAGGCAAGCGGAAUUACCGGUGUAGCAGUGAAAUGCGUAGAGAUCGGUAGGAACACCAAUGGCGAAGGCAGCUUGCUGGGCCGUCCCUGACGCUAAGGCACGAAAGCGUGGGGAGCGAACAGGAUUAGAUACCCUGGUAGUCCACGCCGUAAACGAUGCACACUAUUAGUAUGGGGUAUCGACCCCCUGUGCUAAGAAGCUAACGCGUUAAGUGUGCCGCCUGGGGAGUACGGCCGCAAGGCUAAAACUCAAAGGAAUUGACGGGGACCCGCACAAGCGGUGGAUGAUGUGGUUUAAUUCGAAGGUACGCGAAGAACCUUACCAAGGCUUGACAUCCCAGGAAUCCGCUGGAAACAGUGGAGUGCCUUCGGGAGCCUGGUGACAGGUGCUGCAUGGCCGUCGUCAGCUCGUGUCGUGAGAUGUUGGGUUAAGUCCCGCAACGAGCGCAACCCUUAUCGUUUGUUGAAUUUUUCAAACGAGACUGCCCGGGCCAACCGGGAGGAAGGUGGGGAUGACGUCAGGUCAGCAUGGCCCUUACGCCUUGGGCUACACACGUCAUACAAUGGCCGGUACAACGCGUUGCCAACCCGCGAGGGGGAGCUAAUCGCACCAAAACCGGUCCCAGUUCGGAUUGGAGGCUGCAACUCGCCUCCAUGAAGCCGGAAUCGCUAGUAAACGUGGGUCAGCAUACCACGUUGAAUACGUUCCCGGGUCUUGUACACACCGCCCGUCAAGUCACGAAAAUUAGGAGUGCCCAAAGUGCCUACUAAUGCUAGGCCCAAAGGUAAAUCUAGUGAUUGGGACUAAGUCGUAACAAGGUAUCCGUACCGGAAGGUGCGGAUG
rnacentral:rRNA from 1 species